rnacentral:ncRNA from 1 species
AUGGGAAGCAGUUCCCAGCCUAUUGCGACCGUUUACGGUUGCUUAAUUGAGAGGAAGCCACCAUGGCACUCAGCGCAGUAGAAAAAGCCCAAAUCGUAACUGACUACCAACAAGCUGCU